rnacentral:lncRNA from 1 species
GUAGUUUAACCCCGGGGCAUGCUGGUGGUCUGGCGAAGGAGCGCUGGAUGGGGGGAGGAGGCCAGGAAAGGAACAAACCGUGGUUAACGCCCCAGACCAGCUUUGCUGGCUGGAGAAUUCUGGGAGUUGUCCACAAGUCUUAAAGGGGCCAAGUUUGGGGACCCCUGCCCCAGACCAUCAUUUAGUAGAGCAUCCGUGAAUGGCUUGGAAAAGAUACUCCGAGGGCGGAACGAAGAAAUGUCCCUGUAAGGCCCAGACUCUGUCCCCUUCAAACAAUUAAGAAUGAACUUCUGAAAGCUGGGUAUUUCAAAAGGAAUUCUUUAUUGAAAAGGAAGUUAUCCAGGAACGAAGUUGAGAAAAGUUUCCCAGGAAGUGUCAGACUACAGAACUUUUCCCAUUCAGUCAACUAGAAUGAACUUCUGAAAAUGUAUCAAAACGUAUCAAAAGGAAUCCUUUAUUGAGAUGAGACAAUUCACGUAGGGGUUAAAAGCAGCGUCUUAAGGUCUCUCAGGCAUGCAGAGAUAGAUAAGGGAGUUUAAAACCCCUCCCCUUAUCUUGAUGUGUAUU